AUUGAACGCUGGCGGCAGGCCUAACACAUGCAAGUCGAGCGCGAGGCGGACGGGUGAGUAAUGUCUGGGAAACUGCCUGCUGGAGGGGGAUAACUACUGGAAAAGCUAGCUAAUACCGCAUACCAUCAGAUGUGCCCACAUGGGAUUAGCUAGUAGGUGGGGUAACGGCUCACCUAGGCGACGAUCCCUAGCUGGUCUGAGAGGAUGACCAGCCACACUGGGACUGAGACACGGUCCAGACUCCUACGGGAGGCAGCAGUGGGGAAUAUUGCGCAAUGGGCGCAAGCCUGAUGCAGCCAUGCCGCGUGUGUGAAGAAGGCCUUUGGGUUGUAAAGCACUUUCAGCGGGGAGGCGUUACCCGCAGAAGAAGCACCGGCUAACUCCGUGCCAGCCGCCGCGGUAAUAC
rnacentral:rRNA from 1 species